ensembl:lncRNA
GGAAAAGGUCUUGAGAGGCAUGGAAGGACGAAUAAAAGGACGUAAGGAGGAGAGUGGAGGUGCACCUCAGUUUAUUCAAAGGAUAUGCACGCUCGGCUGGGGCGACGGAUGGAGAAGAUCUAAAUGGAGGGCAUCAACAGUGAUGAGAAGGAAAGGUUGAUGGCCAGAUCGGGAAGAGAGGGUUUGAAGCGUCCUUAAAUGCUGCCCUGAAUGUGGAAGACUUAAAGAUUCAAAGAUUUUUAUUGUCAUUUACACACGCCCUGUGUAUUGAAAUUCUUGUGCUUGCCAUUCCGGAAAGCCGACCAAUUUUAGAAUUAAAAUAAAAAUACAAUAUUUACAUAAAUGU